rnacentral:rRNA from 1 species
UACGUAGGGCGCAAGCGUUGUCCGGAAUUAUUGGGCGUAAAGAGCUCGUAGGCGGCUUGUCGCGUCGGACGUGAAAGCUCGGGGCUUAACCCCGGGUCUGCGUUCGAUACGGGCAGGCUAGAGGCAGGUAGGGGAGAACGGAAUUCCCGGUGUAGCGGUGAAAUGCGCAGAUAUCUGGAGGAACACCGGUGGCGAAGGCGGCAUUCUGGACCGAAACUGACGCUGAGGCGCGAAAGCCAGGGGAGCAAACGGG